rnacentral:rRNA from 1 species
AAUAGAUACCCAGGUAGUCCACGCCCUAAACGAUGUCAACUAGUUGUUGGGGAUUCAUUUCCUCAGUAACGUAGCUAACGCGUGAAGUUGACCGCCUGGGGAGUACGGUCGCAAGAUUAAAACUCAAAGGAAUUGACGGGGACCCGCACAAGCGGUGGAUGAUGUGGAUUAAUUCGAUGCAACGCGAAAAACCUUACCUACCCUUGACAUGCCACUAACGAAGCAGAGAUGCAUCAGGUGCCCGAAAGGGAAAGUGGACACAGGUGCUGCAUGGCUGUCGUCAGCUCGUGUCGUGAGAUGUUGGGUUAAGUCCCGCAACGAGCGCAACCCUUGUCUCUAGUUGCUACGCAAGAGCACUCUAGAGAGACUGCCGGUGACAAACCGGAGGAAGGUGGGGAUGACGUCAAGUCCUCAUGGCCCGUUACUGGGUAGGGGUCGUUCACACGUCAUACAAUGGUGCGUACAGAGGUUGGCAACCCGCGAGGGGAGGCUAAUCUCAGAAAACGACAUCGUAGUCCGGAGUCGUAGU